ensembl:misc_RNA 7SK 7SK RNA
GGAUGUGAGGGUGAUGUCCUGUGACAUCUGUCACCCCAUUGAUGGCUCGGGUAGACUCAGCUGAUCUGACUGCCUAGAUGGGUGUCCCUUCCCUCCCUUACUAUUCUACGUGUGCCCCUCCCAAAGCCGUGCGCCCAGUGCAUGAGGACUACCUUCUCUGAUAAAGGAGGACCGUUUUUCGGUCAGGACUCCGUGAGUAGCUGUGCUCCCUGGUAGAACCUCCAGGUCCAGCAGUGGCUCUAGGAGCUCCAGUGGGUGGUUGUGAGGAGUUGGGGUGGAGCCCAGGACUCCUCACGUGCUCGGCAAGUGCUCCACCACUCAGCC